UUUCAGUUCUUCAUUUGUGCCCAUUUUGAUCUACCUUAGUUUUUGGCAUUUUGGAAGUUAUUUGUCGAAGGUUUAAGUUGAUUUUCUCCGUCCUGUGAAGGGUCUCAAGGCUUCGCCGGGGCUGUCAUGAGAAAGAGAUCAGGCCACACAGAAAACCACAAACACACUCAACAACAGUUUACCUGACAUGCUUCUGAUCAGAGAGAGGAGACCAGAGAAGCCAGAGCAAAGCCAUGAAGGACCAGCUAAAAUCUCAACAAGCAAAUACGGCUCUACAUCCAUCUAUCUAUCCAUCCAUCUAUUCAUCCACCCCCUCCGCCCCCCUCCCUUCGCUGAAGCCCCUGGGGCCAUGUUAUGCUUGCUGAAGCGCUGUGUUGUGAGCGAGCGCGCUGCCUGCCAUCA